rnacentral:rRNA from 1 species
GACGAACGCUGGCGGCGUGCUUAACACAUGCAAGUCGAACGAUGAAGCCUAGCUUGCUAGGUGGAUUAGUGGCGAACGGGUGAGUAAUACGUGAGUAACCUACCUUUAACUCUGGGAUAAGCCUGGGAAACUGGGUCUAAUACCGGAUACGACCAAUCUCCGCAUGGGGUGUUGGUGGAAAGCGUUAUGUAGUGGUUAUAGAUGGGCUCACGGCUUAUCAGCUUGUUGGUGAGGUAACGGCUCACCAAGGCGACGACGGGUAGCCGGCCUGAGAGGGUGACCGGCCACACUGGGACUGAGACACGGCCCAGACUCCUACGGGAGGCAGCAGUGGGGAAUAUUGCACAAUGGGCGCAAGCCUGAUGCAGCGACGCCGCGUGAGGGAUGACGGCCUUCGGGUUGUAAACCUCUGUUAGCAGGGAAGAAGAGAAAUUGACGGUACCUGCAGAGAAAGCGCCGGCUAACUACGUG